GCGCCUACUUGUCUAUCCGUUCCUUGGCGGCUUGUCCCCUCCUAAAUGGGAUCUUUUCUUUAUAUAUGAUGAAACUCACUCGGGUCGGGGU